UACGUAGGGAGCAAGCGUUGUCCGGAAUCAUUGGGCGUAAAGCGCGCGUAGGUGGCCCUGUAAGUCCGCUCUGAAAGUCGAAGGCUCAACCUUCGAAAGCGGGUGGAUACUGCAGGGCUAGAGUCCGGAAGAGGCGAGUGGAAUUCCUGGUGUAGCGGUGGAAUGCGCAGAUAUCAGGAGGAACACCAACGGCGAAGGCAGCUCGCUGGGACGGUACUGACACUGAGGCGCGAAAGCGUGGGGAGCGAACAGG
rnacentral:rRNA from 1 species